ACGGAAGUGCGGCAGGCUUGGAAAUCAGCGAAGAAUGAAAGUAAGUAAGGCAGCUCAGAGAUCUCGCACCCUACGCCCACUACGAAUGUCAAAAACCGAAGCCCAAGAAGGUGAAAUGACUUGCCCACGCUGAAGAAGAGAAACCACUGGUGAAACUGUGCUUCAACAGAUGUGCAAUGGUCAACCAACCUGAAUCGGCUCUGACUUGACCACAGGAACAGUUUCUGUGCAGAUGAAGCCUGGAAGAGUCCAAAAGUUACCUUUGCUGCAUUACUAUGCUCAGUCUCUACCCGGGGAGAGACUUGCACUUUGCUAGGCACAAUUCAUGCAGUGUGCAAAGAAGCAUGGAAGACUGCACAUGCCCCAGCUGCCCCUGGAAAUCUUCGCCCCUUUCCUAGAGCUCUUGACCCUUUAAAAUUCCUUUACUCCCCCCCCCCCCCCCCCCGGGGGAGAAGGUAUACUUAGAGUGUGAGCUCUCUUUUCUGUAUCCCUUGAUCAGUUAAUACACUUUCUAAUCUGCUAUACUAAACACAGUUUCAUUUGAUUGGCAUUUGUGACUCUGGGCAAAAGACCCAUUGAGGGGGUCGCCAACACAUUGGGGAUCUGUAACAAAAUAAGGAGGCCAUUAGACUGAGGUGGCCCUAAUGCCAUUGCAACCUACAUAAGCAAACCAAAAUUUAAGCCUAUCAAUGCCUCAAGGUUACAAAAUCAAAAUGCUAAAGGCAACCUAUCACAAGCUGCUAACUAGGCUUUCCGGUCUCCAACCUUUUUCUAUAAAAGCCUCUUAUUGAUGAAACUUUCCUAACCACUUCUGGUGUGGUGCUGUCUGGUUAGAAUCAAUUUUUGCUUAAAUAAACUCUUAAAAUUUUUAA